rnacentral:rRNA from 1 species
UGCAGAAAGUCUUACAGUUUGAUCAUGGCUCAGGAUGAACGCUGGCGGCGAGCUUAACACAUGCAAGUCGAACGGGGAAUAUUCUGACGGAGACUUCGGUUGAAGUCGUUAUAUUCCUAGUGGCGGACGGGUGAGUAACGCGUGGGUAACCUGCCCCACACAGGGGGAUAACAACCAGAAAUGGCUGCUAAUACCGCAUAAGCGCACGGGGCCGCAUGGCCAAGUGUGAAAAACUCCGGUGGUGUGGGAUGGGCCCGCGUUGGAUUAGCCAGUUGGCAGGGUAACGGCCUACCAAAGCGACGAUCCAUAGCCGGCCUGAGAGGGUGGACGGCCACAUUGGGACUGAGACACGGCCCAGACUCCUACGGGAGGCAGCAGUGGGGAAUAUUGCACAAUGGGGGAAACCCUGAUGCAGCGACGCCGCGUGAAGGAAGAAGUAUCUCGGUAUGUAAACUUCUAUCAGCAGGGAAGAAAGUGACGGUACCUGACUAAGAAGCCCCGGCUAACUACGUGCCAGCAGCCGCGGUAAUACGUAGGGGGCAAGCGUUAUCCGGAUUUACUGGGUGUAAAGGGAGCGUAGACGGAAUGGCAAGUCUGAUGUGAAAGGCGGGGGCUCAACCCCUGGACUGCAUUGGAAACUGCCAGUCUUGAGUACCGGAGGGGUAAGCG